rnacentral:rRNA from 1 species
UACGUAGGGCGCAAGCGUUGUCCGGAAUUAUUGGGCGUAAAGAGCUCGUAGGCGGUUUGUCGCGUCUGCCGUGAAAGCCCGGGGCUUAACUCCGGGUCUGCGGUGGAUACGGGCAGACUAGAGGCAGGUAGGGGAGAACGGAAUUCCCGGUGUAGCGGUGAAAUGCGCAGAUAUCGGGAGGAACACCGGUGGCGAAGGCGGUUCUCUGGAACGCAACUGACGCUGAGACGCGAAAGCGUGGGGAGCAAACAGG